rnacentral:rRNA from 1 species
GCCUAUGAUCAUACUACGUUGAAAUCACCGCAUCCCGUUAGACCUGCGAGGUUAAGGAACGUUAGGCCGGGAUAGUACUCUGGUGGUGAUAACAUGGAAACCCUCGUUGUCGUAGGCU